rnacentral:miRNA from 1 species
CCUCCCAUCUACAUGCCGGAGU